GUCUCUGCGGAUCUGCUGGGCUAAGUGAUGCUGUUGCUGCUGGUGAUGUUCUUGGUGAUGAGCUACCUGGGAUCUCUCGAAGCCAUUCGAGAAAGAGAAGAUUCCUGCUUGGUGGUAGUCUUGGGACAUAGAAUAAUUGGCAGAAUUAGACCUGGGUGGAAUUAAUGGAGCAACCGACGACUGGUGAGUCUUGGAGUGAGAGAGAAUCGGAGGGAGCGGUGGUGUUGCGGUAUCUUGGUAUUGAUGAUGAUGAUCAUCAUCUCUUGUAUAUAAUUCACUUUCUUGUCACCCACUUGUCUUCGCUUUCCCUUUGCUCAAUUCUCUUGAAGUUGCAGAGUAUGAAAGGAUGUAAAGCUCUCAGCCAUCGUUUUCUCUUCUGUGGUUUUGAAAGCUUCUGCGAAUUCCUUUCUUUAUCUCUCUAAUAGCUAUGUGUUGUCUCUCAAUCUGUCGUCUCUUUCUUUCUUUUUCUCUCCUUUUCUUUCCCUUUGCUAGCUGCUGCUCCUCGCAGCACUUACUGAGUGUGUGUGUGUGUGUGUUUGCAACCAAGGCUUGUAGAAAGUGAGGUGAAGUUUUAACAAUAAAAUAAAAGCAACAAAGAAAAAAAAGAAUGGUAGCUUAUGGCCUGAGACUGAUAUAUGAUAUCUCUCUCAGAGAGAGAGAGAGAGAGAGA
rnacentral:misc_RNA from 1 species